UUCAUUGUGGAGAUUUAUGUUGAUUUGGGUGAAAGAGCAUUGUGGCACUUAUACUACAAAUGUAGGAUCGUGGAUUAUAUAUAUAUCAACAUGAGGGGUUGCUCUGAUAAUUUCCUUUCCUUCUCAACACCUAACAACUAUAACUUAGCAAAUGCAAGGUACUAAGCAUUGCCCAUAUAUCCUCAUCUAUUCAUUCAAAUAGUCAUCCUUAAAGGAAUCCUUCCCUUCUCUGAGCCAGCGCCAAGGGACAUCGGCGCUGGACCCAGGAAAGUGACUGAUGGGGUUAUUAACCCCUUAAGCGCCGCGGGAGGUGGCCUUGACAGAGGGGAAAUCCAUAGUGCCAGGCAAACAAGUUAGUUAGUUUCCCUUUAAGCUGUAAUUGUUCUGGUGACUACAGUGUCCUUUUAAAAUAUAAAUCUGAUUCAACUAAAAAGAGAAAAAUUUACUAGAAAAAAAACGAAUUGGCUGAAACACAGUGAAUUUAUACCCCUGCACUGUAGUCCCAGUAUGAUUGGCUGGCAAAUUUAAACCCCCUGUGUGUCAUUAGUCUGAAUUAAAUUAGUUAAUGUGAUUGACCCUCAAACUAAGGGAUGGGGAAGCAGCCACAGACUCACCCAUAAUAUUAAGCCUUGUGCUGCUACUCAUUGUGUGAGGAAAUAUAGUAGAUCACAGUGCAAGGCUUCUCCUGAAAGGUGACACUGUGACUCAGUCAUUCUUCAUUUUAUCUUGUUUCCUGCUGGUGCAGCUAAGUGACAUCUUAUUUGGUUAGUUUGGGAUUAAUUUAAAAAUCAAUCUGGACUUCCCUCCAGAGCAGUUUCUAAGCAAGGCCUUCAAAUGUCAGGGUUUGUUUGACAGCAUUUAAGACCUGCUUCAAGUGAAUUCAGAUAGUUUCCACUUCACAGCAUGGCGUGCUAUUUAAAAUUUCCUCAAAUAUUUCACAUUUUCUGUUUGGAUGAAGCAUCUAAAGUUUAGUAAAUAAUCCCAAAUAAUUUUUUUAAAGAAACCUCUUAUUUAUAUUUUUCCAGGGUGGCAAUAGUUCCAAUAUCACCCAUUUAUUCACCAAGUGGUGAAUUGUGGUGAUCUGAAAAUAGAAUUGUAAAUUGGCUCAAAGUAUUUUUCUAGUUUAUUUUUAUUUUGGUUUGCUUUUAAUUUUUUGAUACUUAGUGUUAGCCCAAUGCAGAGCGCUUUGUAACACUUUGACCUAUAAUACAAGUGUGUAUAUCACAAAUAUAAGAAUGUUUAUCAGUAUUCAUUACUUUUUCUUUCCAUUUUUGCAUUAGCCUACUACAGUACUUACAAAGUCAUGUGUAGCAAAUUGGCUAGUUGUAUAAAUCUAUACUGGUUUCUAAGACAAAUCACAAUAGGCUGGUACCCAAGCUGUCCUCAUAAAGAACAACAGAUUCCUCCACUAAACAGGACAGCUGUUCCUUCCCUUCCCCCCACAGAGCAUAUCCCUUUGAACAUUCUACCCCCACCUCCAAAUUCUCAUCAAACAACAAAGGGUUAAUGUCACUUAAGUUUUCACACAAAGCCCAGACUAACCCUGGGGGGGUUGGGUUGUGGGCAGGGGGAUUAACAUUUUGAUAAUUGUAUCAACUGAUCCUAUUUCUUACAUGUGCAAGGUGAGUGGAUUAACAUUAAAAUGUUUGCCUUAAUGAAAACUGUGCACAACAGGUCUACAUUUUAAAUUUAAAGGAUGGGGGGAAAAUGUAGUGUUGGGCAACUGGUGAGACAAAGCACAUGGCAGGAGACUUUGCAAUUUGUUGUAGGUGACCUGCCUAGACAGAGUGAAUUGAGAUACAAUAAUGCAGUAAGUGUGCCCCUGCACAUAGAAUCUUACAAUCUAGCGUUACAAUAUGUCUUUUAAAAUGUCUUUUACAUAGCUGUCAACUUUAUCAUGUCACAUGAGUGCUCUGAACAGUAUUGUUUCAUUGUUUUAUAAUGUGAAAAAAAAACACGGGGGAGGGGCAUGUAAUAAGAAAUUAUGAUAAGUAAAUACUGCCCACAUGGCUGUUACAAUAGCAUCACAAUAGCAGAUCCUACAUACAGGUUUGGAGAUUAUAGUAGAAUAAGCAAUACUGACCCACCCCCCAUAUAGCUAGUAAAAUGCUUUUAUUCAGAAUGAUUACAGUUAUUUAUAAAGCACCAACAUAUUCCAGAGUGCUGUACAAUAGGAAACAAGACAAAUAUUUAAUUCUAACUAAACAUGAAUGACAUAUUGAAUUGGAGAGCUGACCCAUUCAGUCUAGUGUUUAAAUUAAAACUUUUUCACAAAAUAUCCAAUUGCUUCAAUAGCUAAUUGGGGGAGGGGGUAAUCUCUACAAUAGUCUGUAGUCACACAGUUUGAAUAAUCUAGCCUGAAUUUUGCAAUUUGAUAUAUCCAGUUCACAACAUUUUGGUGUUUAGUGAAUAAACCCGUUAGUCUGCUGGAUAAUGAAUGAUUUGAAAGCUCGUUUGAGCAGGACCCUCUUCACAUUUGUCAACAUUACUUGUAUGUCAAUACUUUGUUACUUUUUAUCCUCUCUGGAUAGUUUUACAUAAUUGGAAUAUAUUGUCACUAUAUAGUGCUAAUAAUGAUAAUGGAGUCGAUGUGAGUGAUAUUUUUAAUACCAGACAUAGUUGUCCUGAUCUCAUUUUGCCAUUAAUUGAAUUACUUGUUUUUUACUGGCACAUCUUAGUCACUCUUGUGUUUAUUUUGUUCUUUAAUUGAGCACCGUGUGUGUACGUAUGUACAUGUAUAGAAAUGUCUGCUGUGUUGUAAUUGUGUUCCUUAUGCCACAGCAAUGCUUCUAUGCACAUUGCCCAUUUUUUCCUAUUAUUAUUGUUAUUACCCGGCACGCCUGCUUAACAAUGAUGCGCUAGACUCUUUGUGUGUGAACACAAUGGGUGGUGUCUGUAGCAGGGGUGGGAAGUCAAGAAGGGUCGGACAUUUAUUAUUGUUGUUGUUGAUGGUGGGUGUAAAAUGUUCUACGAUGAAUAUUUGCUGUUCGUUUUUUUUUUUUGUUUGUUUUUUGUGAUUUUUUUUUUUACAUUUAUUUUCUUUUUUAGAAAAUACAUUUUCUGUUGCUAGUAUGGCUAUUGCACUGAAUUUACAUAUUUAAGUGGAUUGUACAUUUAGUGGAUCCAAACUCAGAAACACAACCACAGAGUUGUUUUAUGUAGGCAAUGCUUUCAAGUUUGUUUUUCUUAUCAGGUAACAUCAGACAGAAUCACUUAUAUUGUAAUCUCUGCAAUUCUAAUCCACGUUUAUCUUUAAUUGUACUUAGUGACUGCUAACAAAAGUAAAAUCUAGAAGUGAAGGUAGUAAUUGUUCUUGUGAAACUUCAGUUCCUUUUGGGACAGUGUAAAUUAUGUAAAGUGGUCUUUACUAGUACAAAUUAUUUCAUUUAAAUAAGAAAAAUCCAACUAUACAUAGGUUGUUUAUAAAACAAAACCAUUCUACAAAAUUGUCAUGCCAUGCGCAUAUGUGUUAAAUUUUGUUACAUUUGGUGUCAGGAGACCUGCGAGUCUCAACCACUUUUGCACCCUCAGAGAUCUGCGCAUCUCAAGACCUCAAACGAGAUUCUAACUGAUUGAAACCUGCGUGUUUCGCACUGCUCAUAACCUCACUGCGAAUUGUUCACCUCGCAAACACUUUAAUAAAAC